CUCAGUAUUUUUCAGUGCUGUACAAGCGUCUUGAAUUACUCUGGUAGCUUUUCCAGAAAGACCCAUGACUUCACCACAUUUCUCGAGUUACGAUGAAGGUCCUCUGGAUGUCAGCAUGGCAGCCACAAACCUGGAGAACCAGCUGCACAGCGCACAGAAGAACCUCCUGUUCCUUCAGCGGGAGCAUGCCAGCACGCUCAAGGGGCUGCACUCCGAGAUCAGGCGGCUGCAGCAGCACUGCACAGAUUUAACAUAUGAGCUGACAGUCAAAAGUUCGGAACAGACAGGGAAAUGUUUCCUAAUCACAACAGAAGAGAAGCAAGCAGCCAUUGUACCACUAACACAAAGCAAGCAACUCUGCUUCGACUUCUCCCACUUUUGGGAAAAGUCCACUUUUCAAGAAGGAGACUGGAAACAGGAAGUGGCCCAGGCUUGCCCUCGUCACCGCCAGUGACACCAACCAGGCGCUCAGUGCAGCAUCCAGCUUCCAGCCUCAGGAUGGCCCCGAGACAGAGGCUGGCUGCUCCGAUUUCAACCAGAGCCAUUUCUGAGGCUGGAAUGAUCAACUGGAAUAGUGAAAAAUGCAGUGCUGUUGGAAGCCAAGUUUUAAGGAGAAUUUUUGUUAUUGUUUGUUUCAACAGACAAACUUAUAUACAUGUAUCAUGUGGGCAAGGAGAUGGGAGGAAUGAAGCUAGGCAAAUUCAUUACCUUUUAAAAAGAAAUCUAGUUCUUCUUGAGGGACUCUCCCUUCUGCUUGUUCUAUCUUGAUGGUCAUAUUAAAAGAAAAGAGUAGCUUGUGCCUCUCAAACAGCCCUGGAGGGAAACAUCAGAUGAGUAUUGAUUUCUUAAAAUUCAUUUUUAAAAAACUGAGUUUCUUAUGCACACUGUGCUUAAACGUAAGAUAAAUGAAACACUCGAACUGUAUGGCUGCAUUUACCCCUCUUUGCACCUAAUGUCCAUGAAUAUCUAAGUUCAAGAGAGAUGAGCUCAGUUCCUAGGUCAUGCCCCAGUCUGUAGUGACAUGCUCCUGUAUGUAACGGAAAUGGCCAUGUCUACAGGAGGUAAAAUCACACCAACCUGGGAAGAGGAAAAGCCAGUGAGGGGCAGUACAGCAGGGGCAGCCCUCUCCACUGAAGGCAGGUUGUUUGCCUGACUCCAUGGCAUUUGUGUCCAUUAGAGUCUAGAAGAGGUGUUGGCAAACUUUCUACAAAGGGCCAGAUAGUAAAUAUUUUUGGCUUUGGAAGCUAGAUGGUCUCUGUCAUAACCACUCAACUCCGCCAUUGUAGUGCAAAAGCAACCAUAGACAAUAUGUAUACAAAUGGAUAUGGCCCUGUUCCAAUAAAACUUUAUUUACAAAAGCAGGCAGUGGGCCAGAUUUGGAUGCUGGCUAGGGGGUUGCCAACCUCUAUUGCAGAGGACACACACUCCAUCAACAGACUCUUUAUUAAUGGAUGCAAAAUACCAGCGUUCUUCUUUUUUGCUUUUUAACAGAAGACAUGUGUUCCUGGAAAAAAAAAUUGUUUAAGUCAAAAUUUGUAAUUUGAAUUCUACUUUAUAUGUGUUAGGAGGGUUGGCUACUUAAGUGAGCCCUAUAGAAACAAUCUCUUUUCUGCCCAACUGUUAAGGGCUAAAUUAUAUUUCUCCAAACUUCCUA
rnacentral:misc_RNA from 1 species